CCAGCAACCGUACGGAUCGGUCACGUUCCUCUUUCUUUUUGAUUAUACGUAUUAUACUCACAUUUAAAGAUUAAAUCCCGACCGCUAAGCUGGAAAACCAAUACACAUAUAUACACACAACAUGCGCGUGCCAACAGAGAGAAAGAGAGAGAGAGAGAGAGAGAGAGAGAGAGAGAGAAAGAGAGAGAUUGAAUGCAACGAAUUGAAUCGACCAUCUGGUCUGACGGAAAAUCCCGAAGGAUUCGAUACCCCGGAUGGUUUCCGUUUUCCGAGUUAGAACGAGAACCACCGAAAACCACUCGAACCGGAGAUGAUCAGGCUAAUCGAGAGAAGCAGAUUUUCGUAUUCGGCAAAGUGUCCUACCGUAAAAAUUUCUUUGGCAAAAGCUUCCCUUUGACGACGAUUCGCGAGUAUCAACGACGUUCCACCUCGUCGAAUAAUUUACGUCUCUCUGGGCGAUCGUCUUAUCGAUCGAAUCCUAUUGUUAGAAAGAGAGAGAGAGAGAGAGAGAGAGAGAUGAGACGAGAGUGGGUGGCUGAAAGAGGGCAGAGAGGAAGAGAGAGAGAGAGAGAUGUUACGAUGGAAUAAAAUAAAUUCGAUUUCAUUCUUCUCGUUAUAAGAUUCAAGAGGACGCGUAUCUCUUUCAUUGAUCAAAUUUGAAAAAGUUACU